UGGGGAAUAUUGGACAAUGGGCGCAAGCCUGAUCCAGCCAUGCCGCGUGAGUGAUGAAGGCCCUAGGGUUGUAAAGCUCUUUCACCGGUGAAGAUAAUGACGGUAACCGGAGAAGAAGCCCCGGCUAACUUCGUGCCAGCAGCCGCGGUAAUACGAAGGGGGCUAGCGUUGCUCGGAAUCACUGGGCGUAAAGGGCGCGUAGGCGGCCAUUCAAGUCGGGGGUGAAAGCCUGUGGCUCAACCACAGAAUUGCCUUCGAUACUGUUUGGCUUGAGUUUGGUAGAGGUUGGUGGAACUGCGAGUGUAGAGGUGAAAUUCGUAGAUAUUCGCAAGAACACCAGUGGCGAAGGCGGCCAACUGGACCAAUACUGACGCUGAGGCGCGAAAGCGUGGGGAGCAAA
rnacentral:rRNA from 1 species